rnacentral:lncRNA from 1 species
GGCAACCUGCUUGGGUCCCUUUCCACACCGCGGAAGCUUUGUUCUUUUGCUCUUUGCAAUAAAUCUUGCUGCUGCUCACUCUUUGGGUCCACACUGCCUUUAUGAGCUGUAACACCGCGAAGGUCCACAGCUUCACUCCUGAGCCAGCGAGACCACGAACCCCACCAGAAGGAAGAAUCUGUGAACACAUCCGAACAUCAGAAGGAACAAACUCUAGACAUGCCGCCUUUAAGAACUGCAACACUCACUGCGAGUGUCCGCGGCUUCAUUCUUGAAGUCAGUGAGACGAAGAACCCACCAAUUCCAGACACAUUUUGGCGACCUAGAUGGGACAAUCGCCUAUCACCGAGUGGUGAGACCAUCGCCUAUAGCUGAGCGGCGAGACAAUCACCUAUCGCCAAGCAAUUACCUACCACUUCCAGGGUCAGAGCCCUUCACUUCAUAUUCAUGAGGAGACGGGGAAUUGGAAUAUACCCGCAGCCGACAAUCUCAGUGUGAAAUACUGGUUUACUGUUUGGAGAACAAUAGACAAUGAUCAACAACUGAAGAGCUGA